AAGUUCAAACAUUUAACUCGCCGACGGAGAAGAAGAACAUUGGCAAAGGAGUUGCUUGAAACCCUAGAUGAAGAUAUCCCAUUUUUGCCUAUUAGAGAUAUGCUUCAGCUUGUUGAUUAUAAAAAGUGGUUGGAGAAAAAGGAAGCAAAAGAAGCACGAGGGCUUCAAAUCCAAGAAAGGUAUUGUAUUCCUUUUUUUUCA